rnacentral:rRNA from 1 species
GACGAACGCUGGCGGCGUGCUUAACACAUGCAAGUCGAGCGGUAAGGCCCUUUCGGGGGUACACGAGCGGCGAACGGGUGAGUAACACGUGGGUGACCUGCCCUUAGCUCUGGGAUAAGCCUGGGAAACUGGGUCUAAUACCGGAUAUGACUCCACGACGCAUGUUGUGGGGUGGAAAGCCUUGUGCGGCUAGGGAUGGGCCCGCGGCCUAUCAGCUUGUUGGUGGGGUGAUGGCCUACCAAGGCGACGACGGGUAGCCGGCCUGAGAGGGCGACCGGCCACACUGGGACUGAGACACGGCCCAGACUCCUACGGGAGGCAGCAGUGGGGAAUCUUGCGCAAUGGGCGAAAGCCUGACGCAGCGACGCCGCGUGAGGGAUGAC